CCCCGCCCCCCGCCGGCCGCGGGCGCGCGCCCCACCCCUGCCGCCCUGCCCCCUCGGCCCCGCGAAAUGGCGGCCGCGUCACAAAAUGGCAGCCGCGCCAGGGCAAAAGCGAGCGCAGGCGGAGAAAUAAAAGGCGCCGCGGACCCCUCCUCCCCGCAGCACGGCAGUGCCCUCCCGGGCUUCCCCGGGGCGGCCCUUCCUGGGCACCGGCGCACUUUCGCGCCCCACGCCGCCGCCCCGGCUUUCCCUCGCCGCGCCGGCCGCUUCUUGAGUCUGCAAACCAGGCGGCGCCUUUGUGCUUCCAAACGUGCCCCACUGCCGGAGGCUCUCACUUAAGGGUACAAAAACCGAGAGAACUGAGCGUCGCACAGCAGACGGGGGACCCCUGCCCGCCCAGGACGCUUCCCGGGCUGGCGCGGGGAGGGAGCAGCCCUUUCCUAGGGUCUCCACACCCGCAGCUUUAGCUCUUGGCCACCAAAGUGAAGACAGGAAAGGGGAAUCAAAGUACAUCCCCCCCAAACGGGGAAAUUAAGGAAAUGGGUUAAGAAGCCCCAGAGCAGUACUUCGGCAGCCGCGUAGAAUCCCAAUGCGGAGCCCACACUCGAGAGCCAGAGAAGAGCCACGGGCGGCCCACGAGUGCGCGGGCAGCUCCAGAGGGCGGAUGUCGUCGUUCACUCCACGCAAACCUCCACCCUUGAAUUUUUCCUCAGCAUGAUUUUAACUGAAGUCUGCACGCAAGGCCGCCGCCUGGGACCCCUGCUUGAGGGACUGGAGACAGUCCCCGUCUCUGUAUGCUCAGCGCCCUCACGUCUGACUGAGCGCCCGCCCCGCGACCGGCUCCCUGCGCUACCGCGCGCCUGCGCAUCAGGAUCAAGCGCGCGAGCGUCCCUUUCAGGCUCUGCGUUCCUCCCUCCCCCGCGCGCCUGCGCGCCGGCUGGGAGGAACUCGGCGUCUCGGCCUCGGCGGGCGGGCGGACGC